CCAGCGUCACACACAGCCCUGACAACAAGGCAGCCCUCGGCAAUGUCCCUCUCCCACCAGAGCAGGCUCUGACACAGAAAACACUGCCAUCGUCAUAUUUCAGCAUGCCAGCUGCAGCACACUUGAUCCACCACUUUCCACACCUCCGUCUCACAGUGACCGCUUGUCUCAGCAGCCUUCACAGGAGGUGAAGUGUCACAGUGAUCUCAUAUUGAGCUGGACCUGCUUCAGCUUUCCUGAGCACGGAGGCAGAAAUCACCUGCAAUGCAGGGAUUGGAACAGCAUCAGGAGCCCCUCCAACCCCCACUGCAGAGCCAUGGGACAGGAGAUGGAGAGGGACUGUCAAGGACUGCCUCCUCACAGAGCCAAGCUGAGCUGACAUACACCAACAGACAGAAACACCUCUGCCUCUUCUAUUCAAUGACCCAAAGUGAUGCUUUACCUAUGGUCUGACUCCGGCAGUUUUUGAGGGAAGUUGAUCCAAAUAGGGCCCUUGAGCUGUGCCUGUGCUGAGGUUCAGCACAGCAGAGACCAGGUAAGCCCUGGUGCCUCUGUGAGUCAUGGCUUUACUUGUUACUGAUGCCAAAUCUCUAAUCCCUGCUUCCUAUGAGGCCAGUUGAAAGGGGACAAGAAAAGCAAAUAAAAAGCCAACAAACAAUUAAAAGAAACCAACACAAAAACUUCCACACAGAAACUGUACUUUUCUCAACAGAAUUAGCUAAUAAAGAAC